CUGAGCUGAGAGCUGCUGACUCCCAAGCAGAAACUAUUAGAAGAGACGCAGCCUCGUGUCUCUUUCCCGCAUUUAAACAAUGAAAUAAGCCCAUUUACUGCCAGCCGGCAGAUCUGUGUUUUCCUCCGUUCUUCACCAUGGAGGAUAGGAGCAAGCCAGUACUAAAGCAAAGCCUGGCUGGGAUGAGGAUUACUCACUGUAGCGCCGGCUGGGAUCACACUCCGGAUGUACGGUGGCCGGGGCAGGAGCCGCGUUCUCACGUCCCCUACGCACAGAAGCUCGGGUGCAAGUGAAGUCCUUGGGAAACCCAACUCCUGGACCCACCCAUUUCCGUUGGCCAGCGUGGAACCGAGCUCGGCUACCGCACUAGCCCCCUGCCUUCUCUCUCCCCCUCUCCCUGAAGCUAAACUUCAGAGGCCACCAGUAGAGGUCAACCCAGUUUUAGGGCGCAGCUCGCAUUCAGGCUGGGUAAUCCGCUUUGCAGAGCAGCCCUCCUUGGCGCAGGGAUGCCGUCCGACUCAGUCUGGAGUGGAUGCCCGUAUAAACGGUUCAAAGGGCAUGCAGAGAGCGUAGGUUGCGUUCCUUCCGCUGCACUGUAACUCUAGGCAGGCCAGCUGGGCUGUCCGUAGCCCCUCGGGAACGGGCAGGUGCGACCGAGUUAAUUUUCUCCGCUUUCCAAAGAAAGAUGACACGUCCUGCCCUUUCAUUUUUCAGCCCGCUCCCUCCGAAAGCCUGCUGGAGACGCACAAAAUGCCAAAGCCAGCGUUUGAUGGGGGCGGGGGGCGAGCCCUAGUCCCACCUACAUUUGAAGCUAUUUGAGAAAACAAAAAGUAGAGCAAACCCCGUGUCUCUUUUCGAAGCGACAAGGAAACGCUCGGGCGGACGAGAUAUACACACUGCACAGGCUCUCGGCCCUGGGAAAUAACAGAUGGGCUAGCCGGGCAUCUCGGCCGGGACUAACCUUCAGUCUAGGCCUGGAGGACGAGUGGGUGGGGGAGGAGAAUUCACCUUCCUGGCACAGCUCACUUGCGAUGUUGAUGUCCGGAGUAGGAGAUGCGGGGCUCUGCCUCUCCGUGUUCACAGCGGACCUUGAUUUAAUGUCAUACAAUUAAGGCACGCGGUGAAUGCCAAGAGCGGAGCCUGAAGACUGCGUCGAAGAUCUGACCGUCGAACAAGCCACAGUAAAAUAGAAACAGGCUGGGAGCCAGGGGCAAUAGAAAGCUGCGCUCACUCACCUAAGAAACUCUAGGCUAAAGCGGGUCGCGCCGCUGGAGCGGCUCAGUCCUUUGGAGAGGAAAGGAAGGCAGCGGCUGGCUUAGCGUGGGCUAGUGGCGGUUGUCAGGAGCAGGCUGUGCUGUUUGUUAGAGGCGAUGCAGCAACAGGGGUAGAAGUAGCAGUAGAUUUUGUUUCUCUGGGCUGAGGCGCCAGAAGUCAUUGAAACAGACCUGGUCUAGAGCUCUGGGAUUGGGUCUGCUGCACCCUCCUACCCGCCAGCCUAGCACUAGCCUAGGAAUGCCCGAUUGGUGUUUUGUCUCCUCCUGGGGCUUUUUGACACUAUCCCGCCUGACUGGCCUUGCAAGCCAAGGAAGGGGAAGCAGAAGGAAUGUAAGAAGCCAAACCUUUCUAAACGUACCAGGGCCGGCAGGAGAAGGUUUCCCAGCGAGGGAAGAGCGAAAGGCCGGAGAACCUGGUUUCCGUUGAGGUGCUUGGGGUGGCCGUGUCCUACGCGGGAGAGGAAGGCGGUUAGACGCGUGAGUGCAGGAGCUAGGGGGAGAAACCAGAGCUCGGGCUGUAACUCUCGCUGUGUGUCUUUGUUUAGCCGGGCCUACGCCUGCGGAGGAACAAAGGGGGAGGCAGACUCUGCUCAGGUCCCAUCGACAGCGGCCGGGGCCCUGCGCUGUCCAUGGUCCUGAAGGCAGCUCUUGUGCUUUAUUCUCCAGCUCGGAACCGCAAGGCUCCGGUUCUUCCUGCCGCUAAUUCGCAUCAGGAAAACACAUUCGAAGCGGGAGCCGGGCUAGGCCAGCUCGCGCUUUGCGAUCCCGAUCCGGAUACUUGAACCAGAAAAAAAAUGGGAUUGGAGCAGGGCUACUCUAUUUUCCUCCUCCCACUACCCAUCAUUUUAAGAUUGCAGCAUGAGUGUGUGUCAUUCAUAUGGGGUCCGGGCUGUUACUGAUGGGUAGCCGUGAGAAAAGAGACCGGGCGUGCCCAUCUAAACCUAGCGUUUAAAACCUGAAUUUUGUAAAGCAGGAUUAGUGUAGUACCCUUUCCGACAGCUCAACCGAUAGCCCUCUAACCGCUCCUCCCGCCCCAAAUGACUGGGAUCAGGCCCACAUUGAUUGGCACGCAGAAAAUAGGAGGCAGGAUGCAUCUGUCCACAAAAAUGCAACGUGGCAGCGCCAGACUCUAUUGAUUUCGUGCCGUUUCCCAGAGUACCCCAGCCGCUCCCAAAGGGCCUGUCUUUCAACUAUGCCAUUGCAAAGGUGGGGGCUGGGAGAGAAAGUAACACUAAAAUAAGAGAUGGAGGGGCUGCAAAACGACUGCAGGUAGGGAGGGCUCAAGAAUGUAUAGGACAUAAUGAUACUCAAUAGGGCCAGGAAAGCGUAUUAACGCCUACACACUGCCUGUCUGAACAUUAGCAUUGCAGGGGGCCGAGGGCGUGGGCACAGGCUGCUGCUAAUGGCCCUGGUGAUAACUAUCCACUGCACAUUUAGUCAUUGGCUAGGCUAUCAGGUCACACCCCUAACACUGAUAUUUUUUGCAGAGGAGGUGAAAACUGCUUUUUCCCUAUGGCUCAGGCCUCGGUCCUGCCGCCGUUGAAGUCAAUGACUUCAAUGGAUAUAGAAAGCAGCAGCUGUCUUCGGUAGAGGCCUUUAACUCUGGCAUAUUAGUCUCUUUACAGCUUAGCUGAAUUCUAAUACAUUCCAACACUUCAUUCAUCAAUAGGCCAACACAGCCACUGGGCAUUUCGGGUUAACCAUAACAAAACGAGACACAGGGAGCUGUUCUAAUGUCUUUGGAGGCAGAACAGUUCGAAGUGGAGCCCUGAUCCCGCAGUCCUCACUCAUGCGAAUACUCCCUUGGCUGCAGUGGGAGUUUGGCUUGGGUGACGACUGCAGCUCGGAUCCACUGCAUUCACCGCAAGUGAGAACAAUGACCUCCCUCCCCGAAACAUUUCACAGCUGAGUUCUGCUAGGGCUUCCUGCCGCAGAGGGACCAACGCUGCCUUUCCUGCGAGCUGCCCGAGAUUAUUUCUCCCCUUAAAGAACUGGACGUUUUAAUUCUGUGCCUAUUCCGUCCUCCCCUUUUUUAAAAGCUCGGACUGCUAAUGCCUCGAAUCUCUGCGACGAAUACUAAACAUAAGUCAUUAACAACUGUCCAGUAUUUAAGAAAAAAUGUAAUCCUCGGAAGCGAUAAAAUAACCCUCCGGGCUUACACAUGAUUGCAUAUGUCUAUCUGAGCACAUAUACUCUUCUGUUCAGUCUAUGAAAUUCCAAAGCAAGUUAGAACGCUGAUCAGGCAUCGAUUUUAAAUGUAUAAGUUGGCUCGUAAAACAAUGUAGGAGCCUAGCGCUGAAGUAUUAAAUUAAUUGGUUUCCGUCUCUAAGGCUACAUAGAAGUCGUAUAGUUUACUAAAUGCGUAUUGUAGGAUACAAAAUAGGGCAUAAAUGAAAUGUCUAACUAAGGAGUCAGUUACAAUACAUUCUAAUGUUUUAUUAGACAAACGGAAGCCUGAUAGUUUCUAAACGAUAGCGACUAGAAUUGGACAACGUGCUGUGAUUUAGCGAAAUGAUAAAGACAGAUUCUAUUAAAGGCUCGAUAAUUCCCGGUCUGGAGGUAUUUUGAAUCCUUAGGCGUUCCGAGAAAUUCUCCCUUAUGAAAAUAGACUCCGACUUUAAUAUUUACCACCUUCCUCUUUCAAAAAUGGAGUCAAAAGUUCUGCUCGGAGCAGUUUUUACACAGGGCAGCAUAAUGUCUUACCCAACUCAAUCCCGGCAUCUCGGGGAGGGAGCAGAGAGGUUUGGCUUGGAGCCCCCUCUGCAGUCAGGAGCAUUUAGAUUUGUGCUUGGUUCCAGUUAAAGCUUCUUGGAGGACAGACUUGCCCCGGGAAACGCUCCUACUUUGUUUGAAAUAAAGCCAGGCCGCACCAUUGGGAAAACGUAGGCAGUCGCAUGUUUUCUUAUUUCACUCUAGCUAAGCAGAGCAGAAAGCUACUAAACUAAUUCGGUACACGGCGUAGGUUAGUUAACUAGGUCACGGCACCCUCUACUGGCCAAAAGAGGAAGAACGUCGAUUUACAAAUGUGUUCGAUGGCGUCUAGGGAAAAAAACCCGAAACUAAACAUUACAGAGUUAACCUAAUACUUAGACUAAUCUAUUCAGUAUUUUGCAAUUUAAAGGACUGAAUGAGAACUCGGCUGCACGGAACCCGAGGAUUUCCCUCAAUUGUUUUGAAGUCACAAAGAGGGAUGGCGACUUCAGGUGUUGCGGAGUUCUAAAUUCUAGAAUCUUUGGUCUGCGGCCCCAGUACGAAGCCCUCGUGAAUCACCCAGGAGCUUGGGACUUUGCCCGAGAGCUGAAAAAGAGUAAAACAGGCGGAAGGCAAGAUAUUCCCCGGGUAGCCAAGUCAGGAGAGAGUUCCAGUGCUGACCUUAUGAAUGUGAGACAUCUGAAGUGACACAGGUAAGUGGAAGGAAGAUCAAAGAAAACUCUCCCACAGAAUUUGCCCUCUUGAGUUUAUUUUAAUCCUGCGAAAUCCUAAGGAAUAGGCUACUCGGAUUUCAAAGGGUGGAAGAAAAGGAGAGGGGAAACAAAGCACAACUUUCAACUACCAAAGACUAGCGAGUGCCCAUGGUUUUUACAAUUAAAGUAUCACCCAAAAUAAAAGAAAUGUCCAACAAACAAGAACUAGCAAAGGAAUGGCAAGAGAUUCAUUUCCCGAUCCUUGCUAUAGGCAGACCUCACCGCUUCCGUUGCAUUAUUCAGCUCUUCUGAUGUCAAUUUGCUGCCACAUAAUACUGUGCUACCACCAUAUAUUGUUUUAAAAAUUAAAUAUCUGACAGGUUUCCUUGUUUUUUAAAAACAAGCGAAGUGCUGUAGAAAUAGCACAGUUGGAUAAUGGGGAAGGAGUAGCUUGUUACACCUCCCCAAUGUUCCAUAGGAGCUAGUAUAUUUCUUCAGCUGUAUUACUUGAAUAUUGUGACUUACUAAAUAAUAAUAGGAUCAUACAUACACUUGAAUAAUUUUCAAAUAAAGUAACACAAUGCAGUAAUUAUAUCACUACUGAUGUAAUGAAAGUUCAUUUCUUGUUCACACUGAUUUAAGGGGCUAGUUUAUAAUAAAUCUUUUAGAAAUAAAAUUUGAUUUAUUAAAUUGUGUCAAUAUGAAAUGGUUAAAUGAUACUUUAAUGCAAACUAAGCUUUUAUAUGAAAAUACUUAAUCUUAUUUAACCUUAAAAGUAUACUUGCUAGGGCCUAGUUUAACAUCAGUCUUCUGUACUAGAAAGUAUCAAAUUAACUAUUUUAUUCAUAAUGAGUGAACCAAUUAUACAUUUCCCACAAUCUCUAGCGAAUGGAGUGAUGAAUUUGGAAACGGACAAGUAAGAAUUGCAUGGGAAGGAUUGUGCUAGGGUAGUUCUCCCUCAGCAGUUACAACUGCCACACUUCUCUGAAGAUUACUUUGCAGUUAUUUUAACAAGAGAAAAUAAUUAGAGCAUGAAGGUCCUUUUGCCUUUGAUGAUGACACUUUGCUCUAUUGUUAGUGUACAUCCCCGUGCAGAAGGCUUGAGCAAAAAAGCUUUCUGCACUGUUCUCCAAAUGUAUGUUCCUCCUGAGGGUGUUAUCCAGAACUCACCACACCAAUAAUACAACACAUUACUAUUAAAGGGCAUUUUAUAUCCUUCCAAGUUCUAUAAUUAGUUACAGUAUUAGAAGUAUUCAAAGUACAAGAGAUCCAUUAAGUCAUUUUAAAAGAAUGUUCCGUUCACUACAAAAUAGCUGUCACCCACAAGGUAUGCUUCCCUUCUCCCCCUCUCCCUCCAAACAUAGUAAAUAAUUUUGUGCAGUAGGUUGGUUUCUUUGGAUCACAAACUCCACCUGCAUUCAGUCCAUACUUUAAUAUCAGUGGAAGCUGAGAAUGUAAACUCAGGGGAACAUAUAUAUAGUAGACAGUUAAAAAUGUAAUCUUUACAUUUUUACCAUGUUUACUUAAGUGAGACUUAAGAUACUCACAUACAUUGGGAGAAAUCCUGGCCCUAUUGCAGCAGAUAGCAAGACUCUCACUGACUUCACUAGGGUCAGGAUUUCAUCUUCAGCUAAAUGAUGCUUAUUGAAUUCUAUAGAAAUUAGUCUGAAUUAGGUGAAAAGCAAAUAUAUCAGGAUUUGGCCCUUAGUAAUUAAAAUAAUUUUUUAAAUAACAAUUUAAAAAGAUUUAAAGUUUCCCCACCCUGCAUUGUGUACAAUAUCCCACUAUCACCAGAGCAAAUAGUUUGCAUUUAAAAAAGACAAAACACAUCAUGAAUAGCUUUACAUAGGUCUCCCUACUGUCUGCAUUUCAAGCUAAGGUUAAAUAGUAGACAUUCUACUAAGCUUCACCUAAGACAUGCAAAAGCUGAAAAAUCAGAAAUAUUUCCAUGUCCAGGAAAAGUUGCCCAAGAACCUGAAUCUUAGGCCUUUUGGGUGCAAGCAGGAAGUGUUAGUGUUCUCAGCAUAAAAUCUAACAGUUUUUAACUGGUCUCCAAACAUGCAGUUGCAUCAGUUUUUGCACACAGCCCCUUUCGUUUAAGAUAUGAAAAAGCCCACAUUUAUAAAUGCAGUUUGAGUACAUCUAUCCAUCUUGUGAGCACAAAUGCUGGCUUUGAAUAUGCAAAACUGAUACCUGCACAUGAUAUACAUAAAAAAAAGUAUUAAAAACAAUUCACAGCAGAAUAAAUAUUUUGCUCCCUUGUCUUAGGUUCUGAUUCAGGAAAGCAUGUAAGUACAUGCUGAAAGUGAAGCAUGCUCUUAAAUCCAAAUGAUUUCAAUGUAAGCAUGUGCUUACGUGUUGUCUUGAGUGUUGAUGCUUUCCUCAGUCAUGACUGACAUCCCCAAAGCAAUUAUGUACAUGGUUGGUCCUAUGGAGUUAAAUGGGGGCAGUUCAUAGGCAUAAAGUUACUUAAACAUAAAGAACUGCUGGGACGGAAACUUACUUUCUCAUUAUAUAUGGAUGACUUUAUAGCCGAGUACAGCCAAUUCAAUGGAACCCCGCAAAAAUAAUCUUCAUAAACAAAAGACUGCAUUAAUGUAAUUUUAAGGUUUUGAACAAAAUCACACAAAACAAGAAAUACACGGGAGAUGGGUUUCCCAUCCUGUGAAAACUGUGAAGAUAGCAAAAGAUUUUUGCAUUCCAGAUACAAGCAAAAAGUCAAAAUCAAUUUUUUUUACUUGAAAAACCAGUUUUUCAGCUGAAGUAACUUAAAGUUUUCUUUUGGUUGUUUUGAAAGAUUUUGGUUUGGAUUUUGAUUUUUUCAUAUUUUCCAACUUUCUGGUAUACAUUUAAAAACAAAACAAAAAUUUGAGUUAAAAAAUAGCUUUCUAGUUUAAAAGUGUCAAAACUGGACAUUGACAAUUUCAACCUCACCCUCAAUGUUUCUAAUCAGAAGAUUUGCUGAAACUCACUGUGUUUCAGGAUUAGUUUCCAUUAGACUGUUUUGGUGAAACAUGAGUUGUCAAAAAUUUUCUGACCAGCUAUAUUUAAAACUCAUUUUGCUCUGGCAGUAUUAACUCAGCCAUAUUACACACUCUGCAUGUGUGUGCAUUUAGUAUGCAUCAGUAACAGGAUUACUACAGUACGGUCACAGGAAAAUAAAACAUGUGCGGUGUACCAUAGUAAACAUUGAUGGAAUAAUCUUAACUUUUGGAAUUUUCUUAUGAGCAAAUUAACCUCACACAAAUCAUCAAUACCAGGAUUUUUUCAUAUUUAAAAUUUCCCAGUUUUAAAGAGGAGAAAACAGAAGAUUCAAAGACAGUCUGUUCCCUUGUUAUUUCAAAAAAUUAAUGCUCAUUUACAUAGUUUAUAUUAGCUAACUACACAUAUAAUUAUAGUAGCUUCACAUGAACAUUCAGUACCUUCAUAUUUAACUAUAAGUCUAUAGACUUUUAAUUUUUGUAUGUCUACAAAAAUCCCAGUUGCUCCAAGGCUGAUCCCUUUCUCUCUCUGGUGCUCACUCAUAUACACCAAACACACAGACUAGGUAUAUACACAUAUACUAAAAUAUAUAUGAAUCCUAAACAUCACUGCCUGUUAUUUGAAAAUUGUAUAUCACAUAGUGUAAUACACCGUUUUUUCCAACCAAGGUAUUAAUCUUCCAUGAAAAUUAUAUACUGUCCAAGUUUCUUGUCAAAUAUACCUUAGUUAUUUUUCCUCAAACUUUGGGCAGAGGUCAGUGUUGCACAACUUGAAGCUAAGAACAUUUUGGAAGGAAAAUAGACAACUAGAAAUUGUUUAGCUUUGUUUACACCAGUAGUUUUACAGCCAAUUCCACAGGCCCAGUAGAAUAUAUGCUCUUGCUCAUAUUGUGAAUAUGUAGCUCAUAUUAUGAAUAUGAAAAAGCAGAGAUGAAGGGCUGUAUUUUCCAAGGUGCAAGGAAAACCCUAGCUUGUUGUGAGUUUGGAAGAGCAGAAUUUGGUGGUUUUAUUGGAAAGAAAUCAUGUGAGAGAGAAAGAGAUUAAUAUUGAAAUGAGAUAUACUAUGGAGAGCUAGAAAUUAUGGGCCAGUGAAAAGAGAGGGGGAGUGAAAGUGACUGAAUUAGAUGAAAAGGAAACAACAAGCUAUUUCAGAUGUUUAAGGUGGAGGAGAAAGGCAGGUCAGCAAGAGAAUACUCAGCGCAGCAGGAGCACAACUGCAAAACAGUUGAGACUAUUUUCUUGAAUUUUUAAAUAUAAUUUGCUUGAGUUAUCUGCUCAUCACUUACAUUUGCGCAAUUGAGUUUUAAUGUUUUCUGAAAGCAAAAACCUAAAAGUUCUGGGCCCAGAAAUUUAUUAAAACACACAUACACAUUUUGACUUGUAAGUGUUCAUUCUGGAAAUGCUUUGAGCAUUUAUCCAGUUAGGGAGAUGAAACAAUUCUAUCUGGGUGGUAACCAAUGUCGUUCAAAUGAAUAGAUGAUUAAUGCAUACAAAGAAUUGUUCCUGAUCAAUCCAGAAAGUUUUUUAAAAAAUCAAGUGAAUGCAUUGGAGGAAAUUAUGACCUAUUCACAUAUGUCAAAAUAAAGUACUAUAAAAUAUUUUUCUGUAUUAAAGACAGUGUAGAAAGAAAUUUGGUAUUUGAUACAUUUGGAUGUGAUGGCAAAUGUAAAAAGAGAUUAGGUCAGAAAGGUGGGGAGGUAAAGAGCUUGUAUGCUUGGAUUAAGAUUCCAGGGGAGAUUUUAGAGGAUGGGGAAACAAAUUCUUGCUUCCAUUUCUGCAUAACAGACCAGCUGCUACUGAGAUGAUAUUGAAAUCUGAACAGUUGAAACUUACAGAGAUUUAAUGAAGGGAAUUGCAGUGGUCAAGAUCACAGAAGAUGAAGACAUGGACCACUUUAGAAGUAUCACUGAGAUAGUGUUAAUUAGAUAUUUCAGAGAUGAAAGCAAACAGGUUUGCAGACCCAAAAAAAGAAGAGAGUAGGUGAAAUGAAGGCUUUAUUGCAGUCAGUGUCAAAACUGACUGGUGCCUGAAGUCACUUUUCAUUUAUAAACUACAAACCUGACAAUGAAGAAUGAUAGUUUGAGCAGAGGAGUGAAAUGAGACAUUGGGGGAUUGGUUAAAGAUGGUUUUUUUCCUACUGUUUAGAGGAACAUAAAGUUACAGAUCCAAUGAACAGAAAGAAAAUUAUGAGGGGCUGAUGAACUGAUGAUGAGUUCAACAAUGGGAAUUAUAGCUUCCUGUAGAAGGACCAAUAAAUGAACCAAAAAGGUCAGCUCUUCAUUUUAAGAAAUUUCCCUAUCAGUAAACAUUUAAAAUGAUGCAACAAAAUCUGGUGAGUAAAAUAUAAGAUGACAAUCAAGAGUUGUAAGAAAAGAUGACAUCUUACUUUGGUUAAAGCCUUCUCAUGCUCUAAUGGGCUGCACACUAAGUAUUUAAAGGAACCAUGAGAACACUGUCAUCCAAUAUUUUAUGUAUGAAAGUCCUUAAAACAGCAGAACAUUAGGAAAGGAACAUAAACCCCAUUAAAUUAUCUCAGCAUGGAGGUCUCCGGACUGUCCCAUUAUUUUUAUAUACGAAUGGGGCAGCCCUCAUUCAUGUACCACCCCUCGCUGUAGUAGGGCUUGCAAGAUAAAACUUGCACACUCCUCCCCAGCCACUGCAACAAGGAAGGACCCAUCUGCCAAAUGUAUUGUCUCAGGACUCCAUUACUAGCUAGUCAUUUCAAACAAAAUCAUGCAGAUUAGCUAGGUAGAGGGCUGAUUUGUUAAGUCUACUGUAUUUGUCCCUUUCAGUGGCUGCUUUGCAUAAAAGAUAAUCAGAGCUGAUGACUUGUGGCUGUGGCUUGUGCUUGUGUUUGAAAGCCUAUGGACCUGAGAUGCUAGUGAUCAGCUAUCACAGAGGUGGGGAACCUAGGGACUGUAAGCUGAAUCUACCCCAUCUUAAUUGAUCCAGACUGUGGUAAGCCUCCACGGCAUGAGCCAGAAGCCCUGAACAUUGGCACCCCCUGUGGGGCUGGAGCAUGGCACAUGCUGAGUUAAGUGUGAGUGUGCGGUGGGGUUUUUUUCUUCCCAUCUUGGGAACAGGUGAGUGGUGAGGGGGGUUUAUUGUUUUGAUUUGGUUUUUUGCUUGUAUGUAGUCCCAGGCUGAUUUUUCUGUGGCUCAGUGGCCCCUCACUGAGAAAAGGUUCCCCUCCCCUGUACAGGAGAGUGUAUGUAUUACACAUUGAGUGUUUUGUGUCACCCACAAGAAGCUGGGGACUACUCCUAUUGCCUACUCUGCAGAAGUUGACCUUCCUUUUUAACAAAUGCUUCUGGUUCAUUUUUAACAAAUGCUUCUGGUCCUUUUGGGGGACAGGGGACAUGGGGAUUUCUCAAAAAUCAAAAAGGGGGCUCGAUGCCGAAAAGUUUGGGAACCACUGUUAGGGACUCCAGCAGACACCAAUCAACACUGGUCAGUUAAAAAGCAAAGUAGCAUGAAACAUUCAUUCUACCUACAGGUUAAGUGAGUCGACUAUACAAUUUAGCUCUGUUAAUCUGAAAAGCAAGGCAUCUGGAUUGGAAAUCAUUCAGGAUUUGAAAAAUCAUUAUGGUGGGUGAUUACAGAAACUGCAUCAUUGGAAUUAACCAAAACCUAAGUGGACAAAGUACCCAGAGCUGUCAGUUCAUCAUCAAACUGUCAUGAGUCUGAACUCUGCUCCCUCAGUGCCUCAUCACCAAGCCCUCAAUUGACAGGUUUCCUGUGGUACGUGAAUGUGAUUGGCACAGUACCCUGCCAGAAAUUAUCUGCCUCCAGAUCACUGAGUGAUUUCACCCCUGAGGUGUUUUAAGGAACCUUUCCCCUCAUAUCACAAGGCAAUGGGAAAUAUUGGGUCCCAACGCUCCCAGCUUUUUGCUGACCACAGAGCAGAGCUGCAAUGCAGAACAUCACCACAGGAAUGGGCACCAGUGGCAACGGUCCUUUACCUAGUCUCAAAUCUCUCGUAUGUGGUCCCUGUCUCCUCCUUACAGGGCUUCUUUGUAGGUCAAACAGCAGAGUGUAUUAAGAUGCUUCCUUACAAUUAUCUUAACCCACAGUACCUGGACAACAGAUAGCAGGUCUGGAACCACAAACAACAAGGGAGAGAUCUGUGGACCUUUCUCCAGCUCAGUACAAGUAAGAGGAACUGACAUGACAUUUCCUCAGAACAGGGAGGGCUCUUGAAACUCAGCUGUGCUGAUGCUUACAAGCCGGAAUGACUGUUUCAGCCACCAGUCUGUGCUUUGGCACCUUCAAAUAUUGGUUCUUCUAGAUCUUUGGACAUUUUUGCUUUGUUACCUACAAACAUUGCUACUUUGGGACACUAGCAUCUAGCUGCUCACUAUCUCCAGGCCUCCGAAUAUAUGUAUGUUGGCAGAAAAGUGCAAACCCAACAUACCAAUUGCAUUUGAUGUUUAUUCUAGAUGUGCAGGAGCAGUUUACACAAUGAAAACUUCUGCUACCCAAAUGGUCUCAAAUGCCAUGCUGCAUACUGAUUACCCAUUAAGUACUUACUAUAGAACCUCAGAGUUAUGAACUGAUGCAUCAACCACACCCCUCAUUGGAACUGGAAUUACACAUCAGACAACAGCAGAGACAAGCAAAUCCAGUACAGUACUGUGUUAAACAGAAACUACUAAAAAUAUAAAGGGAAAGUUUGAUUUAAAAAUUGCUAAGGUAAGAAACUAUUUCUGUGCUUGAUUAAUUUAAAUUAUGAUGGUUAAAAGAUGCAUUUUUCUUCCACAUAGUAAUGUCUCAAAGCCUUUUUAAGUCAAUGUUCAGUUAUAAAUGUUUGAAAGAAUAAACAUGGAAUUUUUUUCAGCAUUA